rnacentral:rRNA from 1 species
UCUCAUCCGCCAAAACAUCUUCGGCGUUGUAAGGUUAAGCCUCACGGUUCAUUAGUACCGGUUAGCUCAACGCAUCGCUGCGCUUACACACCCGGCCUAUCAACGUCGUCGUCUUCAACGUUCCUUCAGGAGACUCUAAGUCUCAGGGAGAACUCAUCUCGGGGCAAGUUUCGUGCUUAGAUGCUUUCAGCACUUAUCUCUUCCGCAUUUAGCUACCGGGCAGUGCCAUUGGCAUGACAACCCGAACACCAGUGAUGCGUCCACUCCGGUCCUCUCGUACUAGGAGCAGCCCCCCUCAGUUCUCCAGCGCCCACGGCAGAUAGGGACCGAACUGUCUCACGACGUUCUAAACCCAGCUCGCGUACCACUUUAAAUGGCGAACAGCCAUACCCUUGGGACCUACUUCAGCCCCAGGAUGUGAUGAGCCGACAUCGAGGUGCCAAACACCGCCGUCGAUAUGAACUCUUGGGCGGUAUCAGCCUGUUAUCCCCGGAGUACCUUUUAUCCGUUGAGCGAUGGCCCUUCCAUUCAGAACCACCGGAUCACUAUGACCUGCUUUCGCACCUGCUCGCGCCGUCACGCUCGCAGUCAAGCUGGCUUAUGCCAUUGCACUAACCUCCUGAUGUCCGACCAGGAUUAGCCAACCUUCGUGCUCCUCCGUUACUCUUUAGGAGGAGACCGCCCCAGUCAAACUACCCACCAGACACUGUCCGCAACCCGGGUAACGGGUCCACGUUAGAACAUCAAACAUUAAAGGGUGGUAUUUCAAGGUCGGCUCCAUGCAGACUGGCGUCCACACUUCAAAGCCUCCCACCUAUCCUACACAUCAAGGCUCAAUGUUCAGUGUCAAGCUAUAGUAAAGGUUCACGGGGUCUUUCCGUCUUGCCGCGGGUACACUGCAUCUUCACAGCGAGUUCAAUUUCACUGAGUCUCGGGUGGAGACAGCCUGGCCAUCAUUACGCCAUUCGUGCAGGUCGGAACUUACCCGACAAGGAAUUUCGCUACCUUAGGACCGUUAUAGUUACGGCCGCCGUUUACCGGGGCUUCGAUCAGGAGCUUCGCUUGCGCUGACCCCAUCAAUUAACCUUCCGGCACCGGGCAGGCGUCACACCGUAUACGUCCACUUUCGUGUUUGCACAGUGCUGUGUUUUUAAUAAACAGUUGCAGCCAGCUGGUAUCUUCGACUGACUUCAGCUCCAUGAGUAAAUCACUUCACCUACGUGUCAGCGUGCCUUCUCCCGAAGUUACGGCACCAUUUUGCCUAGUUCCUUCACCCGAGUUCUCUCAAGCGCCUUGGUAUUCUCUACCUGACCACCUGUGUCGGUUUGGGGUACGAUUUGAUGUUACCUGAUGCUUAGAGGCUUUUCCUGGAAGCAGGGCAUUUGUUGCUUCAGCACCGUAGUGCCUCGUCGUCACGCCUCAGUGUUAAAGUGAACCGGAUUUACCUGGAACACACACCUACACGCUUAAACCGGGACAACCGUCGCCCGGCCAACAUAGCCUUCUCCGUCCCCCC